UACUACUACUACUACUAGUACUCCAUAAAGUACUACUACUACUACUACUACAGAUCUUUUAAUAUUCAGUAUGAACAGGAGGAAUGAUGACAGAGAGGGAAACCUGACUGCUGCUUUAACACACUGGGAACAAACAGUGAUGUUAGCUUAGCUUAGCUUAGCUUAGCUUAGCUUAGCAUUGAAACUAGCAGCUUGUUUCCUGGUUUAAAGUCUAAAGUCCUCUGUGAUAAACUCUCGUUAUCUGGUUUGUUUAAUCUGGUUUCAGAUGGAGAGUCACGCUCUGUAAAAACACACCAGCUCUGUCAUGGUGGUGUGAUGCGUUCAAAGACCUGGUGACUCAUUGGACUGUGCAGAGCCUCAAUGCUGCGGUGUGUGUGUGUGUGUGUGUGUACUUUAACCCUUUAUGUCUGAGCACUGA